CGGGCGCCGACCCGCGCGUUCCUGACGGACUGGCUUAAGACCCGCUUGUGGGAGAGCCGACGCCGCAGUGACGUCUGGUGUGGCGACGCGAGCUUCGCGCGGCGACUCGCUUGGCCUGUCGCCUUGUUUUAACAGAACCUGGAGGCUGCUCCUCGUUUCAGCAGGCGCUCCACCACAGUGGCAUCUUUCGCUGUUAGUCCUCAAGAUCUACCUCUCUCCUUUCAAGGGCCCCGUAGUGUUUCAUCGCACAACGAGGUAUGGCGUUAUCACUGUUGGUUCUUAUGUGAGAAGGAAUCUGAUGCAGGGGCGUUCUAGAAUAUAGCAGUGAAGACAGCUGUGCCAUGUGGUGUGCUCACACUUUGAGAAGAUCAUUGGAAAGGAGGCCUGGGUGUUCCCAGUGGCCUAUCAGCUCUUCACGUGGUGGUCACCUCAGUCCCCUGCAUCCGUGUCUAUGUCUAUGUGUACGUAUAUUUUUACCUAUGUCUUUAUACGUAUGUCUGUUUGUGUAUGUAUAUCCAUGUCCAAAUAUGUUUAUCUUUACCUGUAUAUCUCUUUGUAUAUGUGUAUCUAUACAUGUAUGUGUAUGUAUUUAAUGCUUUCUAGCAUUAAAUCCCAUAUAAAAGCAAAACGGAAGACCCUGGCCCAGACUCUUCAAGAAGUGUCUUUUUGAGAGAGACCAUUCUCAACUCCACAAAUUUGUCUCCAACAAGUGGCAGUUUCUUCAGCUUGGUGGUAGGGCCUUGCAGCCUCAGCCCGGCCCCUCCUUGGACGUUUGGCGUCUUUAUGACCGGGACUUCUUCUAGUCACGGUUGCUGUGGUCUGGGAGGCCUUUCCUCUAGAAUCCUUUUCCUGAGUUCCUCCUUCAGACCAUUUUCUGAGGUGGGAGACAUUAAGAAAACAGUUAACUGAUUGUGCAGACUUUCACCAAAAAAAUACAUUCUUUACCUCAUUGAGGGCAAAAUGAGAAAACCUGGGCCUAGUACUGAAGGGGAAGGAGCUAGACUAGAUGAAACGUAGCUUUGGCAUUAAAAACACCUCCCAGAGGAUGACUGCUGCCUCUGUCAUCCCUGCCUUCAGGAGCUGCUUCCAAGGGGGACUAGUGACUCGUGAGCGAGUGCUGAGUAGUUACAGGUGCUACUGGAGCCACAGCAGCUUUUACCUCUAAGCAGAUUCAAGAACUUGAGAGAUGGGUGUCAAUGUUUGCCUGUAUAGCAGCUGCUUCUGGUUUUAAGAGUCUCUAGACCUUAUACACGUAGUGACUGAAUAUGGCAAUAUACUGUUUAAUCUUUCUUGGUCACAAAAAAGGAAAAUAACACAAUGGAAAAAUAUUAAAAUCCAAAAAAAUAAAAAUAAAAAUAAGUAGAAAGGAAAUAAUUUUGGCCCAGAGCUGCUAUUAUAGUCUCUACCCCUUGAGAGCUAAGCAUCUUUCUUAAUGGGUUGUCUAUUUGGGCUACUAUAACAAAAUACCACAGAGUAGCUUAUGAACAACAGAAAUUUGUUUCUCAGCGUUCUGGAGGCUGGAAAUCAAAGAUCAGGGCACCAGCAGAUUCGGUGUCUGGCAAGGGCCCACUUCCUCUUGGAAGGUGCCAUCUUGCUGUGUCUUCAUGUGGUGGAAGGGAUGAGGGAGCUCUCUGGGGUCUCUUUUAUAAUCUAAUCUCUUCAUUCGUGAGAGCUCCACCUCGUGACCUAAUUACCUCCCAAAGCCCCAGCUCCUAAAACCAUCAUCUUUGAGGUUAGGAUUCAACCUAUGAAUUUGAGGGGACACAAUAUUCAGAGCAUAGUAUGAAUCUUUCUCAUGCUAUAGCACUGGAACUGUUAAGGUUAUAUUGGUUCUCAACCACAAGUUUCUCCUUAUGGGAAAUUUAAGUAUAUCCCAAGUCUGUCUAUUUCAGUACCUUUUCAGCAACAAAAGAAUUUACAGUAGUCCCCCUUAUCCACUGUUUCAGUUACCCAUGGUCAACCUCCAUCCAAAAAGAAUGGAAAAUUCCAGAAAUAAACAAUUCAUAUGUUUUAAAUUGUGUACGAGUCUGAGUACUGUGAUGAAAUCUCAUGCCAUCCUGCUCCUUCCUGACUGGGAUGUAGAUCGUCCCUUUGUCCAGCAGAUCCACGUUGUAGAUGCUACCUGUCCGUUAGUCACUUAGUAGCCACCUUGGUUAUCAGACAGACUGUCGUGGUAUCGCAGUGCUUGUGUUCAAGUAAUCCUUAUUUUACUUCGUAAUGGCCCCAAAGCACAACAGUAGUGAUGCAAUUUAUUACAGUAUAUUGCUAUAAUUAUUCUAUUUUAUCGUUAGUUUUUGUUGUUAAUCUCUUACUGUGCCACAUUUAUGUUAAACUUUAUCAUAGGUAUGUAUGAUAGGAAAAAACAGUGUAUAUCCACAGUUUUAGGCAUCCAUUGGGGGUCUUGGAACAUGUCCCCUACAGAUAAGGGGGGGCUUCUAUAAUAGCUAGCAUUUAAUCACCAGGUGGUUUACCUAAAUAAUUCCAUUCUUCCCUAUCAAAAGAACCCCGUUUCAUUUGGAAUGGCAAUGCGUCCACUAAAAUAAAAAGACUUUCUUUCCCACUCUCUUGCAGCUAGGAGCGGCCAGGUAACAUGUGGUAGCCCGUGAAAUGCAAGCAGAGAUCUGGUGGGCGAGGCUUCUAGGAAAGCUACUGCUGUCCUCAGAAAAAAGGUCAGAUUUGGCCUAUUGUGAGCAUUUUGCCUUUGCUUUUCCUGCUUUUUGCGUGGAAUGUCAACACAGAAUCCUGAGGUUCAGCAGCUACUUUGUGAGCUUAAGGGAAAAAGACAGAAGCAAAGGUUCUCACAAAAAAACAGGGAGCAUGCAUCACAGAUGACAAUGCAGAGACGCUCUACCAGCCCUGAGCUGCCUGGCACACAAACAUUCCGCUCUUGCUUAAACCACUGUUUUGGCUUCUCAUUACAUGCAGUGAGAGCAUAAUCAUGACUGAUUCAACCAUAGUUCUUCCUCUGGAGGACAAUCAGAAGAGAGACCUGGGUCUGGCAUUCAGUGCUACAGCCAGCUUUACCAGAAUUGUUAAAAGCGAUAGUAGACGAAGGACAGAGUGGUCAGAGCAUUGACGAACUAACCACAAGUUAGUUGGCUAUUUACUCCAGCCAUCAGCCAGCAAAGGUCAGCAAAGUCAGGCAUACAACACGCCUCCUGAAAAAUCUUUGGCCUGAACCCUAAACAAUUGCUGAGGUUCCAGAAUUUUAAUAAUAUGCAUGCAAACUUGAACUUAGCACAUUUUGUUACUUAUAGCAAACAUUGUAUUCUGCAUGGACGUUAACUACAACAAUUCCCAGUUAGCUGUUGGGCUGCCAACACAUGCGGACACGCGGGCUCAUUCCAAGGUCCACAGGUGGCAUCCUUCCUGAGAGCUCGCAAGAUGGAGAAGUCUAUGUGGCCUUUCCCCGAGUGACGACACAGCCAAGAGCUGUUGGAUUCCAGCCUCCUCCUUAGCGUUCUAGUUUUCUAGCUCUCCGUCUACAUUCCUGAUGAACUUUAGCAGUACAUUGUCAAGGCAAAGAGGGAUAAUCUGAAGUGGAAAAGGAAGAGGAAGAAGAAGAGGAAGAAGAAGAGAUAAUUUCCUGUUUCCUUUGGAGAGUCAUAAAAUUAAAGGUUAUUUUACUGCAAUUUUUCUUCUCCUAAAUAUUUGGAUAACACACUGGGGUGACUAAAUGGAUAGUUUGAAUCUGCUGUGAAGACGGCCAAUCUGUAAAGAAAAGCUAAGAGAACGGGGAGUCCAAAUGCACUUGGAGUACCUGGAAAUUACACCUGGCAGCCAGCAACCUCUGUGCUUCUUUGUUGUACCGUAUUUUCUGCCGGCGGCUUUCAGGGGUGCCUUUAUUUCACUGAUUACUAAAUUAGUGUUGGAUUUAAUGAGAGAGAUCUGUCCUUUUAUUUGUGCCUUUUUUCCUUCUUCUUACUUAAAAAAAAAAACAGGAUCAGCCUCACAAAGGCUUUGCACAUUUCUAGCUUGCUUUUGAAGAUGUGACCAUUUGCUCCCAUCUAUCUCCAUGGUAAUAAGCUCCCUCCACCCCCAAUUUUCCAAGCCUCAGAUACUUAGGAAGCUUCAGGACUGGAGUAGGGUUGCAUGCUAAAAUAAUGCAGAGAAACAAAUUGUUCUCUGUAAAUAGGCCUCAUCUUCAAAGCAUUCGAAUAUUCUCCAAAAUGUGAUCCAUUUCUCUUUGCUUGAAAACAGGCGUAUUUUAGAUAAAAUAUUCGAAAGUAAAGUUUCGCAUCUCAGGAAAUGCAUCUCAGUAAGAGCCUGUAUUCUAAAACAAGACUUGGACAGGAUUUUAAAACUGGAAGUGGCCUCAGACUUCAUCUAGUCCAAGACUUUUAUUGUACACUUGAGGAAACUGAGGCUUUAGUACAGCUCAUUGUUUUGGGUCUAAUCAUGACUGGGGCUGGGACUUCGGUCUCACAGCAAGGUAUUCUUUCCUCUAUACCAAUAUUUCAAUAAUAAGAAUAAUAAUUAUUAAUUAUAUUACUAAAAAUAGCUAUUAUUAGUAGCGAUGAAAGAGUUAAUGCACAGAAGAUGUGCUAUAAAAUGCAAAUAACUGUCAGGAUGUCUAUGCCAGGCAACUUUUCACUGUAACUUGAAGUCCUUUAGAAGUUGAUAUUUAGGUUUUCAAAUCAUGAACUCGCAAACCAUAUGCUCACAUAAAUUAAUAUACUAAAAGACAAUUUAUUCAUAUACGCAUAUAUGUAUACAUACAUAUAAAUGUAUUUGUGGUAUAUAAAUAAAAUAACAGUGGCAAUCUCUGAAUAAUGGUUAUAGUUAAUUUAAAUUUUCUUUUUUAUAAUUUUCUACAUUUUUAUUUUCUAUAUUAAACCUAUAUUACUUUUCUUAUAAGAAAAAAAGACUUUUUAUUUCCAGAAAAAAAUAUUUGGACAUUUGAUGUUUAAGAUGUAAAUCAUUCACACUUGGCCCAAUUCCACUGUUCUUUCCCCACAAAAUGCAAAAUAAUUUACGGUUCAUAGUAGCUGUAGAUAUUCUGCUCUGCUUCACCUACUAAGACUUAGUGCUGGGCCUGGGAGGGCUGCACGUUCUCAUCAUUCAGAAAAUAUCGGGAUUCUCACCACCAGGAAGAACUAACUGCGGAACCCAAGGUCCUUAUAAAGAACAUCCCCUUCACAGCUUCUUUUUUGACCCACAUUUUGCUUAUUGAUUUAAGAGCUUCUUUUAAGAUAAAGAUAAUAUUAAUUGGUACUUCUGCGAGCUUUUCUCCUGAACACCUCAAUGUAUUUCACAUGCCUUAACUCAGUUAUGGUCUCAUUAAGGUAUGUGUUUGGCUUUAAAGACUCGCCACUGUUCCACAAACAAAACCCAAAAGAUCAAUUCCAUCUAGGAGGGCCGGCCGGUGGCCGAGUGGUUAAGUUCUCGCGCUCGCUUCAGUAACCCAGGGUUUUGCUGGUUUGGAU